rnacentral:rRNA from 1 species
UACGUAGGGUGCAAGCGUUUGUCCGGAAUUAUUGGGCGUAAAGAGCUCGUAGGCGGUCUGUUACGUCGGCUGUGAAAACCCGAGGCUCAACCUCGGGCCUGCAGUCGAUACGGGCAAACUAGAGUACUGCAGGGGAGACUGGAAUUCCUGGUGUAGCGGUGAAAUGCGCAGAUAUCAGGAGGAACACCGGUGGCGAAGGCGGGGUCUCUGGGGCAGUAACUGACGCU